AGCAGCCAACCAACAAAAUAUCGUUAAAGAAUUACUAAAAAAAUACCAAACCCCAUCAAAAACUCCAAAUAAACUAAAGGUAACCCUACCUAAUAGUAGGAAAUUUUAUGCUAAAACUAAUAAUAAGACACUCUCUCUACAACGCACCUAUCCGUUAGAAACAGAAAACCUACUAACUAUUAACAGACCUAACCCGGACAACAACAAACCCAUACACACCAACCGCUCUAACUGUGACCCCAACACAGGUGCGUUAAAAAGAAAGAUAAAAUACUAAAAAAGGAACUCGGCAAUCUAAACCCCAACUGUUUAACAAAAACAUAACCUUUAGCUAAACCAGUAUUAAAGGCAACGCCUGCCCAGUGAAUAAUUAAACGGCCGCGGUACCCUAACCGUGCAAAGGUAGCGUAAUCAUUUGUCUAUUAAUUGUAGACCCGUAUGAAAGGCAUAAUGAGGGUUUAACUGUCUCUUUUAGUAAAUCAAUUAAACUGAUCUCCUAGUCCAAAAGCUAGGAUACCAACAUAAGACCAGAAGACCCUGUGAAACUUUAACUAAAAUAUUAAAGCCUAUAAUAACUACUUUAGGUUGGGGCGACCUUGGAAAAUAAAAGAACUUCCACACACAUAUUAUAUAAUAAUAUAUAACCGGCCAACAAGCCUACAACGACCCAGCACAGCUGACAAUUGAACCAAGCUACUCCAGGGAUAACAGCGCUAUCUUCUUCAAGAGCCCAUAUCAAAAAGAAGGUUUACGACCUCGAUGUUGGAUCAGGACAUCCUGAUGGUGCAACCGCUAUUAAGGGUUCGUUUGUUCAACGAUUAAUAGUCCUACGUGAUCU
rnacentral:rRNA from 1 species